GACAUGUACGGAAGCACGAGAGAUCGAGGCGUGCUCGAAAGAGAGCCGUAACCACAGGUGCUGCAUGGCUGUCGUCAGCUCGUGUCGUGAGAUGUUGGGUUAAGUCCGCAACGAGCGCAACCCUUGUCAUUAGUUGCUACGAAAGGGCACUCUAAUGAGACUGCCGGUGACAAACCGGAGGAAGGUGGGGAUGACGUCAAGUCCUCAUGGCCCUUAUGGGUAGGGCUUCACACGUCAUACAAUGGUACAUACAGAGGGCCGCCAACCCGCGGAGGGGGAGCUAAUCCCAGAAAGUGUAUCGUAGUCCGGAUUGUAGUCUGCAACUCGACUACAUGAAGUUGGAAUCGCUAGUAAUCGCGGAUCAGCAUGUCGCGGUGAAUACGUUCCCGGGUCUU
rnacentral:rRNA from 1 species